rnacentral:lncRNA from 1 species
GAAGUCCAGAAGGGGCCAGCAUAGAAGACAAGGCUGUUUUGUUUCAUGGUGAAAAUCAUCUUUUAAAAUGGGGGCUGGGUCCGAGGAGGGAGAACAGACUGUCAGCAGUUCCCAGCGCUAUCAGGAUUCUCUGCUCUGCCACUGACGUUUAUGAGUUGAAAUGAAGAACCCAACCACAGAACAGAAUCUCCAAAGGCUGGAAGGUGCCAGGCACAGUUAUCACAGCAGGAUGCUUUCGGUUCUGGGCCACAGAGCAGCAGCGUUUUGGAGGAGCAUGAGAGCGAGGCUGCAUUCUCUUCACUACUUUGAGGCCACCUAGUGAGAAGGCUGUGGUGGUAUCAUUCUGUGGAAUGCCAACUGGCAGUAAAAGGCACAAGCCACAGCUAUACACAAAUGGAUCAAUCAGCCAAUCAUUUCGAAUCUACAAAGCAAGAUUCGGAAGACAACAUACCCUUGAGAUGCCCGUAUGGAUCUUUCUGUACAACUCAAAUCGAAACAAAUUUGAAUGACAUAUUUCACGUGUAUGCAGAUCUAUCGUUCUAAAUAGUGAUCAAAGAAAGGCAGUGGUGAGUGUGAGAUUGGGAUAUGUUGAUUUUUAAAGGAAGUCAGGAGGACCAACCAGGAAGGAGAUGGCUGUGAAAUAGGCUAUGUCAGGUAUUAGUUUGGUAAGGCUACCUUAAAAAAACAAAAAACCAAACCAAACCAAACCAAACCAAACAAACAAACAAAAAAGAAACCGCCACAGACUUUAAUCAACAGAGCUUUCUCAUCUCACAGUUUCGAAGGCUGACAUUCUAAAUCAAAAUUGGUUCCUAUGAGGACUACGAGAAAGGGCCGGCUUUCCUUGUGUCUCUUUACCUUGUUUUCUGUCUAUGUUUGAUUACCUUUAUAUUCAUUCUCUUUUGCUAAAAGGACCCCGUUCACAUUAAUUUAUGACAAAGCCUGUGGUAGUUUGAGGGAGAAUGGCCCCCAUAAGCUCCUAUGCGUGACUGCUUGAUGGAACUGUUUCAAAAAGGAUUAGGAGGUGUGGCCUUGUUGGAGGGGUGUGUUGCUAUUAUUGGUAGGCUUUGAGGUCUCCAGGAUCAUGAGUUCUCCUUGCUUCUUGCUUGUGGAUCAGAGGUAAGCAUUCAACCACUGCUCCAAGCACCAUCAUAGCUACCUGCUGCCACAUGGGCUCCCUGUCAUAAUGGUCAUGGACACUCACCCUUUGAAACUGUAAGCACACCCUCAAUCAAAUGCUUCCUUUUAUAUGUUGCCUUGGUCAUGGUGUUUCUUCACAGCAAUAGAAAAGCAACUAAGAUAAACCCUGAGCUAAUUACUAGGCUAUGACACAUCCUAAAGACCUUACCUUAACUCAUUUUAUCCAUAAUGAUCUUUUUUUUUUUAAAGGAAAGUCAUAUACUGAGGGGCUAGAUGCUAAGAUCGCAGCACAUGAAUUUUAGGGGGCACAGUUCAACCUAUUACAUUGACACUGAAUUGUAGUUCUGCGUUGGCAUAAAGGGUUAUAGGCACUCAUUGUCCUAUUAAAAUAAAAGAGGACUGUCCUUGGACUAAUGCUGAUUGCCAGCUAAGAAGUAACCCAGUUUGUGGCACUGAGUUGAGAGAG